GUUAGUCCUUCUUUCUCAGCCCCUUAUAAUAAUAUGUGGAGGCAUCUCCUUUCAUCUACUUUUUUCCUGCUUCAACUUCGUUGGACAUUUUCAUGGACACAGAGAGUGGAAGAAUCUCAUAUGCUAGGAAAGAGCGCUUUCAAGACUUGGAUAAGGAGGAGAAGAAUCUCGCAGCAGAAUGAGCCCUGGCCCCAACAAAAUCCCUGAAAAGCAGCCCUUGAUGGAUGUUCACAGCAUAAUCCUCAGGAUAUGCCAUUUGUGCUUACUGGUUUAUUCCAUCUCUUGGAGUCUUUGAGCCCUUAUAUAACUCAUGCCGGUCCAUCAUUGAAACACAAGCAGGAGCAUCUAUACAUACUAGAAGAAGUAUACUUGUCAAAUAAGCAAAGCAGUCAUAGGGCUCCUCUUUCUUGGCAGGCACUGGUGACUGAUGCAGCUACAAAUGCACAAUCACUUUCAUUGACCUGCCAAAGAAGAGUUGCCCUACGAUUGCUUUGGCUUAAUGAAAUUUGCAGCCUGUCGGAUCAUGCAGUAGAGCCCUGUCAUGCAAAACAUAGGCUAGCCAAGGAUAUAGGUAGGUUUUGUCAUAAUUGAAAAUAAUGGUAGAGGUAGAGCUAUAAUAAUGAAGUUAUUUUUGUUGUACAAAGUUGUUCUGCUUUGUGACUAAGCAAGGGAAAUAGUGUGAUUUUAAAUAGGUGGAAUGGAAGGUGGAAGCCAUAUAUACAAG
rnacentral:lncRNA from 1 species